rnacentral:rRNA from 2 species
UGGGGAAUAUUGCACAAUGGGCGAAAGCCUGAUGCAGCAACGCCGCGUGAAGGAAGAAGGCCUUCGGGUUGUAAACUUCUUUUCUCGGGGAAGAAACAAAUGACGGUACCUGAGGAAUAAGCCCCGGCUAACUACGUGCCAGCAGCCGCGGUAAUACGUAGGGGGCUAGCGUUAUCCGGAAUUACUGGGCGUAAAGGGUGCGUAGGUGGUUUCUUAAGUCAGAGGUGAAAGGCUACGGCUCAACCGUAGUAAGCCUUUGAAACUGGGAAACUUGAGUGCAGGAGAGGAGAGUGGAAUUCCUAGUGUAGCGGUGAAAUGCGUAGAUAUUAGGAGGAACACCAGUUGCGAAGGCGGCUCUCUGGACUGUAACUGACACUGAGGCACGAAAGCGUGGGGAGCAAACAGG